rnacentral:rRNA from 1 species
UACGUAGGAUCCAAGCGUUGUCCGGAUUUACUGGGUGUAAAGGGUGCGCAGGCGGACUUGUAAGUCAGGGGUGAAAUCUCACAGCUCAACUGUGAAACUGCCUUUGAUACUGCAAGUCUUGGAUCCAGAAGAGAGUUGUGGAAUUCCGAGUGUAGCAGUGAAAUGUGUAGAUAUUCGGAAGAACACCAGUGGCGAAGGCAGCAACUUGGUCUGGUAUCGACGCUCAGGCACGAAAGCAUGGGGGAUCAAACAGG